CCUAAAUCUCAUUCUUCUCUACAGAACGCCACCCCACUCCAUGACUGAAUCGAACUCAAUCCUCACAUUAUCGAUCUGAUUCUACACUGCAUCUAUGUUAUUUCCCUAUAAACUUCGUCGAUCUAGUCUCUAAUCUCCAUGAAUCUGUCGAUCUAGGGUUUACUUUACACGUUUGGUUCGCGAUAUUCACUGCACAUAAUCAGCCACACACCAGGUCUAGCAGUUUAAUUCUUCACGAGCAGCCACAGUUACUGAAUUAAAACCUACAGAUUGUUUCCAAUGGACACUCCUAAUGCAAGCAACUCCGACUGUGAGCUAGUGUCUGAAAAUGAAGUGGUUUCUAAGGCUAAAGGAAAGAAAACGCAAAGGAAGAAACAAGAUGGAAAACCCCCAAGUGCACCCCAAAGUGCUCAAACUUUAUGAAGGAGUUAGCCUUGGAACAACCCACCAUUAUCACUGAUGAAACGGUUGAUGAAAGUUAUGAAACAUCCGAAACGGCAUAAGGUUGUCAUGGUUUUUGAGCAUGCUUGCUACUUGGAAAGUUUGAAUAUGGUUCACUAGUUUUUUGUUAGAUUGGAAGUUGGGAGAUGGAUUGGAUUUUGGGCUAUCUUAAUUGGAAGAUUAUGUCUUUAAUUUCGAACUACGAAUUGUCUUUAUUUGCCUUUUUUUGAACAUCUUAGAUUCUUAGUAUUUGGUUUGUAUUAAGACUUUAACUUGACUAGACUUGAAUUUGGGUGAUAGUUUGUUACUGCUGGGUGAUGUA